rnacentral:rRNA from 1 species
UACAGAGGUCCCGAGCGUUGUUCGGAUUCACUGGGCGUAAAGGGUGCGUAGGCGGCGGAGUAAGUUGGGUGUGAAAUCCCGGGGCUUAACCUCGGAAUGGCAUUCAAUACUGCUUCGCUCGAGUACUGGAGAGGAGGCUGGAAUUUACGGUGUAGCAGUGAAAUGCGUAGAUAUCGUAAGGAAGGCCGGUGGCGAAAGCGAGCCUCUGGACAGUUACUGACGCUGAUGCACGAAGGCCAGGGGAGCAAACGGG